rnacentral:lncRNA from 1 species
CUUAACUUUUCAUGCUCAGCCAAAUAUGUUCCCAUUAAUUGAAAUAUGGAGAGAGUAUGUAUGUAUGUAUGUGUGUGUACACACCGUAAAUUCUCAAAUUGGCAUGAACAAAUUGAUGAGCAAAUUCACACAUAAAUCUAUCCACAUUUCAAUUCCGAGAAGAUGGUUGCCUCAAGACUUAUUUUUGUUCUUCUCCACUUAGAAAUUUUAAGCUCUCUUUACUUGAUCAAGACAUUGGUAAUAUGCCUUUGGCCUUCUUCUAUCCUAAACAUAUAGAGGGCAGUAGCGCUUUCAGCUUCUUUCAAACAUCUCUCGAGUUGUUGAGACUUCUUUAGCAAGAACUUUGACCUCUUACUAACCACCAUUAGCUUGAAGACUAAGGGAAAUACCUUCAUUGACUCUAAUGACAAGGGAGUUAAUUUUUUGAAUGUUCGAUUCGAUUGUCCCAUGUCUGAAGUUGUCAAUAAUGAAGUCAUUUGUAAGAGAUGAUAUAUAUGUGAGCGAAUAAUGACAAUUCCUACAUAUAUCUCAACAAAUAAUUACAUAAGAAAUGUAAACACUGGAAACAACAGUUCAUCAACAAACAGUUCUCCAUGCUAUCCAGGCAAAAAAAAAAAAGUUCUACUAAUCCAAGAUACAACGAGAAAUUAACCUUUAAUGUGUAACCAAGUAGAAGUUCUAAUAACUCUUUAAAUUAUCAAUUGCUUCUGUAGGAAUUUAGAUAGAGUUGAUAGAAAGGGACUCUUCAAGACAGUGGAAAAGAUGGAGAACCAGGAGUAGAUCCAAGUGAUUAUUUUUCUGCAAAUGGAAAUGGAAUAUGUAUAUUUAUAUUUUACAGAAAGUGCAACAUAAUAUACCAUUAAAUAAAAAGAUGCAUUCUAUUGUAAUGAUUGGAUGCAUCACUUCAUGCAGAUGUGUCCUAAAGAUAGAAAAGACUGCCAUAGCGAAACUUCUGAAUCGCUCUAAAAAUGUAAUUUGAACUUCACGCUAAUGGCGCGAAAGAUAAGGCCGGAAGUUUGAACGGAUCAACAUUUCAAACUUUAGGCCAGUGGACUGAAGUCCAAUUCUUGUAAUUCGAAGAAGAUAAAAGAUAUAUAGAUAUGAGUUCAGAAUAAAUUAGCUACCGAAGUGAAGCAUGGCUGAUACCUCCAAUGAAGUUGGAAUGCUUCCUUCAUGAUUGCAUAGUUAUAAAUAUAGAAUAUUAAAAGCAAUUUGUCGCUCAUACCACAAGGCCAAAAAAAGAAAAUCAUUAAAACAUACGAGGUUUACCAAUCAAUUAGUACUCCAUCAUCAUUUAUUAAUGGCAGGGAUUAUAGUGUGCUACAGAGAUAUAUUACUGUAUGUAGAAAACACGAAGAUAUAUAUAUAUAUAUAUAUAUAUAUAUCAUGCAUUCCUCUCUUAAUUCCUUCUCUACAGACGUAACUCACGUCACUACAUGUCUCUCUUUUAGAUGUCAACAUUGUUAAAUCGCUUUAGAGCAACAUCUGCAGCAAAGAAACAUGGGAACCUAGCUAUAUAUAUGUAUUGCUGUAGGAACUAACAUUACAACAUCAUGCAGCUGGUGCCACCUUUGACGCAUCAUCAUCAUUGUCAUCGUCAUCGCCUUCACAUCCUCUGUAGACACAUAUACUUGAUCCUAACUUAGCCUCUGUAGCCAAAAACUUGGGGAAACCAAUUGAUACCUUCUUCUUGCUGGCACUCAUUAGAACAACCAUAUUGGUAGCGAAGGAGUAUUUUGAACUUACCCUAGCUUUGAGAUAUGAGCCUAUACACGUCAAAGUCAACUCAAGUUGUUGCAAAAUAUGGUUGAAUUCUCCUAUUUAUAGCUUAAAACGAAUGGCAUUUGCAAAAAAUUCUCUUCCAUGUCCACCACUUGUUGAGGUAUUUCGGGUAUACGUGUUGUAGUCUCUGACUUUGUUUUCUGAUAGUAAGAGAUUCGUUGUUUUUUGGAAUUGGAUCUCAACAAAUGGAGGAGAUCAAGGGUGUCAUGCGACACCACUUUGUUAAGAAUUUUCUUUUAUACGUGAAUAAACGCUAUUUUCUGAAAAAAAAAUUAUAUAUAUUGGUGUAUGUAUACAAUAGGUUGACAUCACAUAAAAAUAAUACAAAGUAAAUAUCAAUUUGUAUCAGGAACUAAAGACUCAAAUUAUCACCAUCUCUAACUCAAUUUUAAUUAUAAUGCAAACAAAAUUGUGAUAAUAGACCGACAAUCUUUUUAUGCAAAAUCCGACGUACGCCACUUAUUAUAAUGCAAAAUAUAAAGUUUAUCUUGAUGUGUAGGUCAGGAUGAAAGUGAAAAGAGAAAAAGGUAUCAGCCAUACAU